rnacentral:rRNA from 1 species
AUUGAACGCUGGCGGCAGGCCUAACACAUGCAAGUCGAACGAGUGGCGGACGGGUGAGUAAUGUCUGGGAAACUGCCCGAUGGAGGGGGAUAACUAUUGGAAAAGGUAGCUAAUACCGCAUACCAUCGGAUGUGCCCAGAUGGGAUUAGCUAGUAGGAGGGGUAACGGCUCACCUAGGCGACGAUCCCGAGCUGGUCUGAGAGGAUGACCGGCCACCCGGGAACUGGGCCACGGUCCAGACUCCUACGGAAGCCAGCAUUGGGGAAUAUUGCACAAUGGGCGCAAGCCUGAUGCAGCCAUGCCGCGUGUAUGAAGAAGGCCUUCGGGUUGUAAAGUACUUUCAGCGAGGAGGCGUUACUCGCAGAAGAAGCACCGGCUAACUCCGUGCCAGCCGCCGCGGUAAUAC